rnacentral:lncRNA from 1 species
AUGCUGAUCUCAGCUGUGCUGUAAUAAUUGUGGUUGGAAAAUCUAUUCUAAUUUGGAAGUAAAUAGAUCUUUGGAAAACAAUCAGUGUUUCGGUGAUAUUCAUAUUAAUGAUGUUUUAUUUAGUGAAGCAGCUUGCAAGAGAUUCGCGGGUUCAUUGGCUGAUGUUGCUUUGUAAUGGUGUCAACAUUACAUAGACACCUUCCUUAUGCUGAAGUCUCUCAAUGAUCAAAAUUACCUUUGAGUUCAAACUAAAAUUUAGUGACACUAAAAAAGAAAUGCUUAAAACAUUUUGUUUAUGCCCUUUAUAUUUUUAAAUUGAACAUUAAAAUGUCAAGUUUCAAGUUUUCUUUUCUUUUUUAUUUCAAUAUAUAUCUUUGAUUAAAUAAAAUGGUAUUUAACAGAGGCUUCAAAAUUCUUAGUGCUUGGAUGAUUAUACUUUAAAAAUCAAGUACAGACAAAAAUAUUCAUUCACGCUAAUUUAGAAGUUUGAAGAUUUAUUUUUAUGUGUGUGUGCUUGCCUGAGUUUAUUUUUACCACAUGCAUGCAGUGUCCUUGGAAGCCAGAAGAGGGCAUUGGAACCCCUGUAACUAGAGUUGGAGGUGGUUGUGAGCCACUACAUGGGUGCUGGUUGUCCAACCCAAGUCUUCUACAAGAGCAAUAUGUGCUCUUAACUGUGAGUGAUUAUUCUGGUCCCUAAGGUGGAAGUUUAGAUAAAAUCUUGUUAAAAUUCACAGGAUUGUCAUGUCCUGGAACUUUAUUUAAAAAUCCACAUUGUGAUGUUAAAUGUGUAUGUAUGGGCAGAGAGUGAAUUUGCUGUGACCAGUUUUAUAAGUAUGUGCAUAGCUUCAUCAUUAAAUAUUCUAACCAUCUCCAAUUGUGUAAAAGCAGCUACUGAAAACAUUCAUGUCCUUUGAAGAAACAUCAAGAACAGAUGGGAACAGAGAGUCUUUGACUAUCCUGAAACAGUUCUACAAAUAGUUACGACUUCCUUUCAAAAGUUAGAAAUUCUAUUAAAUCUAUUUCCAUUCUUCACAAGGGCUGCUAGCUGACUGUGUAAUGACAUGCCACGCAGCACAAAGCAUGACCUCUGAUGCUACUGCUAUGGUGUGCUUGCUUAGUAGAGGAAGGAAAAGUAGCUAGUAUUAGGAGAAGUGCUACACUUGGGUUGCCAGAUGAAGUACAGGACGCAGAGUGAAACUUACAUUUCAUUUAAACAACACAUAGUAGUUUAGUGUAUGCCUCGUACAACUACUGUUCACUGUUUAAAUAAAAUUUAAAUUUAACCAGUUAUCCUAUACUUCUGGUGAGUCUGCUGGCCCUCACCCUUUGCGGUUAGGUAGAUAGUAAGUAACGGUGAAGGAAUAGUUUUUUUUUUUUUCUGAUGUAUCAGAAACUCUCCUUAAAGUUCCUCAGGAAUCAAAUUGUGUCUUACUCACCCAGCUAAUGAGUCAUUUCUGGAGCUGACAUUUGAAUCUAGUCAGCCCCAAGAGCUCUGCUUUGAUGUUGAAGUACCACAACUGCUGAUUUCAAGUUCUGCUCUGAGCCAAAGUAGCAAACCAUCCUGUGACUGGCAUAAAGAGAUGGAGACCAAUGCAAUAGAAGACUCAGAAGUAAACCUUUGCAGCCUCGGCCCCUGGAUUGCCCACAAAGUUCCCAAAGCAUGGUGGCAGGUCGCCUGGGUAUCCAUAUGCAAAAAAAGUAAAACUAGAUCUAUAGUUCUCACUCUGCAUAAAAAGCAAUAAUAUAAAACGUAUUGUUUUCUUAAUGUAAAACUUGAAACUUUAGGAUGGCUAGAGGAAAACGAAGGAAAAACACUUGAAGAUGUAGGCAUGGGCACAGUUUUGGAAUGUUACUCUAGCUGUUCAGGAAAUGAUAACAAAUUUAUAAUCAGGAUUCCAUGAAAUUGGAAAAGCUUCUGCACAGCAAAUGAAACAAUUGCCAGAGAAACUCGACAGCCUACGGAACAGAAGAAAACGCCUUGCCAGCGUUUUAAUCAAUUGGAGGUUAAAAAUCCAUAUUAU